rnacentral:pre_miRNA from 8 species
CGAGUCUGGAGCCUGCGGUGGGGGGAGGGGAGGGCGGGAAGAAAGGAGGGCGUGGUCUGUGCAGCUCCUCACUCCUCUCCUCCCGUCUUCUCCUUCUUCCUCCCAUUCCUGCCGGUCUCAG